rnacentral:misc_RNA from 1 species
AAAGUUGUUUGGGCUCCACCAGAAUAUGGAGAUGUAGUUGCAUGCAUUUGUGCUGAUGGAAGUUUGUUGUUGUGGGAGGAGGUAGUUGAAGAUUCAGAGCUGCUUCAGUGGAAGCUGUGCAAAUGCUUUGACAGAAUCUCAUCCCUAGUUCUGGAUGUUCAGUUUGGAGUCUCCCAGACAAGUCUGAAAUUGGUUGCUGCUUAUUCGGAUGGCCAAGUGAAAGUGUUUGAGCUCCUAGAUCCAUUUGAAUUGAAGAAUUGGCAGCUGCAGGCUGAAUUUCAGAAUGUUAUUGAAUCUGUAUCUAAAUUUGGAAAUGUUUCAUGCCGAUCGGCUUCUAUUGCUUGGAAUCCCUUGAAAGGAGAAAUCCAGCAAUCAAGCUUCGUUUUGGGUUUUGAUUCCGAUACGCCACACCUAAACUCCUCCAAGGUUUGGGAAUU